UACGUAGGGUGCAAGCGUUGUCCGGAAUUAUUGGGCGUAAAGAGCUCGUAGGCGGUUUGUCGCGUCUGCUGUGAAAACCCGAGGCUCAACCUCGGGCCUGCAGUGGGUACGGGCGAGACUAGAGUGCGGUAGGGGAGAUUGGAAUUCCUGGUGUAGCGGUGGAAUGCGCAGAUAUCAGGAGGAACACCGAUGGCGAAGGCAGAUCUCUGGGCCGUAACUGACGCUGAGGAGCGAAAGCAUGGGGAGCGAACAGG
rnacentral:rRNA from 1 species